rnacentral:rRNA from 1 species
UACAGAGGGGGCAAGCGUUGUCCGGAUUUACUGGGCGUACAGCGCGCGCAGGCGGCCGUGUAUGUGACCGGUGACAGUCGCGGGCUCAACCCGCGCCGGCCCGGUUACACAGCAUCGCUGGAGGCAGGGAGAGGGAUGUGGAAUACCCGGUGGAGCGGUGAAAUGCGUAGAGAUCGGGUGGAACACCAGCGGCGAAGGCGGCAUCCUGGCCCUGUACUGACGCUGAGGCGCGAUAGCGUGGGGAGCAAACGGG